GGUGGACACUGGAGACCCCGGCGGAUACAACAGCUGUAUGCAGCUACUACAGCAGAUACAGAACAGAUACUAUGGUGGUCCUUGAUGUUCUUCCCAACCAAGCUGGAGCUGCACCCACCCAAGUCAUCGUACCUCCCCACAUUGAACUUGAAGUUCAACAAAAUAAUUCUGACGAAGAUCUUACUCUGUCACAACUAAUUUCAGAGUCCAUCCUCCAGCCCACACCAGUGACGACACACAGCAUGGAGGACAUGAUCUUCAUUCAGAGAGACCUUUUGGAGAAAGUGCGGCAACUGAGAAGAGUU